rnacentral:rRNA from 1 species
ACCCUUUACUCUUACUCUCACCACCCUGUGCACACAUUUGUAGGUCCUCGAUAAGAGGAUCUAUGUCUUUAUUCAUCACACACAUCGAUAUGUCUAGAAUGUAUCACGAUCGUCGACCGACUUUGCAGGUCGGGCGGCGGUCAAAUAAAUAAAUACAACUUUCAGCAACGGAUCUCUUGGCUCUCGCAUCGAUGAAGAACGCAGCGAAUUGCGAUAAGUAAUGUGAAUUGCAGAUUUUCAGUGAAUCAUCGAAUCUUUGAACGCACCUUGCGCUCCUUGGUAUUCCGAGGAGCAUGCCUGUUUGAGUGUCAUUGAAUUCUCAACCAUGUCUUGAUUGAUUUCGAGGCAUGGCUUGGACUUUGGGGUUGCUGGCGGCGAAAGCUGUCGGCUCUCCUGAAAUGCAUUAGCAAUGGACAGCAAGUCUGAUGUGCACGGCCUUGACGUGAUAAUGAUCGUCGUCGCUGGAGCAUUGGACGAGCAUGAAUGAGUCUGUUUGCUUCCAAUCCUUGACUUGGGACUUGCGAAGCUUUAGCUACUAGUUGGUCGUGAGGCCGACGAACGCAAGGCUGGCUCCGGUCCCUCGUCUUCCUAGACAACUUGACGAACAAAACAGGAAGGAUAACA